GGCUGGUGGGGAGCGCGCUCGCGGUCCACGUGACUCCUCCCGGGGCCGCUGUCAAAGCGGAGGCCGGGAACACCCCUAGCUUCACGCUCCUGGCCCUGGGACAAGACCACAGUAGGUGCGGUUUCCAGCGGGCCCCCCGCUUGGGGAUGAGCUUGAGUGAGGCGGGAGUCGACAUCCUUUCUCGAAUGCCAAUCUCUUCAGGGUUUAGACAUGAAUUUUGGGAGGAGCGCCACAAAGCUCCUGAGAGGAGCAGGCAGAGUUAAACUUACUUUGAAAGGGAGUUUUUGAUAUUUUGUUUUGCAAGACAGUCCACAUCUUAUACGAAUGCAGUAUGGAUUCUUUGUAUUCAAUCAUUGUGGAAUAUAGUUUAAGGUGUGUUGCAUUCGUUUUAUGCUGUGGAAUCUUUGUUUAAGGAUGCAAAGUUGUGUUGCAUUCUUUUAUGUUGCAUUGGUUUAACUCUGUGAAGCGGUGUUACUUUGCCUGUCUAAAACACGUCACUGGUCUAAUAAAGAGCUGAAUGGCCAAUUGCUAGGCAGGAGAGAGAAAUGGGCGGGCCUGGAAGGCAGAAUAAAUGAGUGAGAGAGAAGACAAGAACUACACAGAAGAAAGAACAGAAAACCUAAGUGUGUAAAUGUACAACUGUGAGGUGCAUCGCUAAAGGACUAUGGAAGCCAUGCAGGUAACAUGAGUACCUGCGGAACAGCCUGGAGGAGGUUGAUGUUGGGAGGCCCUGCUGCUUAAGGUUACAGUUCACCAUGUCUGGACGGCUCUCCGAGCUAGGCAUAAAACGGAAGAUUCCUCCUGCAGGGGCUUCCUCCUCUCUGCCUGACCUUCUCUGGAAGCUCCCUGAGCUUGGAUGCCUGACUUAAGUGUGACCUUUGACACAGGUCCCUGUAAAUGCUCUCCCCUGCUGCCCAUGUGAUGAUUAGGUGGUGUGCCCCCAUCAGUAUGAUGGGACCCUGCUGCCAAAUACAAAGGAAGCAUAUAUAAGCACCUAUCAGGUGAUGUCCCAGCUGCUGUCCCCAUCCUAUGUAUUCCCCCUCGCUCUGGGAUGAAGUUGAGCUGUCUCACUGAA